rfam:Clostridium lentocellum DSM 5427, complete genome.
GGGGGUGCACUGGUUUCGACGGGGGUCACAUCUACUGGGGCAGCCAUCCGUAGAACGCCGGAGUCUACGUUAAAAGCUGGCACUUAAAGUAAACGCUGAAGAUAAUUUAGCAAUCGCUGCCUAAUUAAGGCGCAGUCCUCCUAGGUCUUCCGCAGCCUAGAUCAGGGCUUCGACUCGCGGAUCCUUCACCUGGCAAAGCUUUGAGCCAACGUGAACACUAUGAAGCUACUAAAAUCUAGAGCCUGUCUUUGGGCGCUAGAUGGAGGGAAUGUCAAAACAAAGAAUAUGAUGGUAGAGACCACGCUAUAUGGGCUUUCGGACAGGGGUUCGAUUCCCCUCACCUCCAUUA